AGCGAACGCUGGCGGCAUGCUUAACACAUGCAAGUCGCACGGGCACUUUCGGGUGCGAGUGGCGGACGGGUGAGUAUCGCGUAGGGAUUUGUCGUUGGGUGGGGGAUAACCUUGGGAAACUGGGGCUAAUACCGCAUGACGCCUGAGGGCCAAAGCUUUGGCGCCUGACGAGGAGCCUGCGUCCGAUUAGGUAGUUGGUUGGGUAAUGGCUGACCAAGCCAUCGAUCGGUAGCUGGUCUGAGAGGAUGAUCAGCCACACUGGGACUGAGACACGGCC
rnacentral:rRNA from 1 species